CGAUUAUCAAUAAUCAAAGAUAUACUGUUAUUUACGCAUGUUUAAGCCAUAAUGUGUGCCUGUCCAUGCCAUAUUACAAGCAUAUUACAUAUUAUUGCAAAUCACAUUCUUGCAACAUAAAACUCUUUGUGCGGCUCGAGUUUCAACAGCUUGUAUGCUACUGCUGCACUGAAUCAGUAUUUAUUUAUAAAUCUGCCAAAAGCUUGCCAAAACUGGGGUAGAUGGAUCCAUGAUCACACGCGUAACAACGAGCAACCGUGCACAACGCAUUUUAAAUUCCUUUUUUACUCUUUUCACAGCGGGAGAUAGAGCACAGAAGAAAGUCAAGAUUACAGUACAAUAGUAACGGAAUUCUCUGAAUAACAGCAAAUAAAAAAUACAGGUACAAUUGAAUUCUCAAUGAAAAGAUCGACGUAUACAGAUUUUUCGGUCCGAUUUAUUCAAAAAACUGUAGUAACACUUCGAAAAUUCCCUUGGAAGCUCUUCUUACACGACUUUCACGCAUCUAUUUUAACCUGAGAACUGGUGCAAACCGACAGGCACGACAUAGGAUUUCUUAAAUUAGUUCUGUUCGCCGGUUGCGCGUCGGAGCAAGCGCAUUAGUGACUUUCCUAAUACCUAACCUGACAUACGAACUGCUUUAGCCGAAAUGUAUCGAAAGUAGAAUUUCUACAUCUUUCAUUGGAAGAUGCGUUAAUAGUCUCAACGGUAAAACUUAUAUUAUGAUCAAUUUCAUAUUUGCUAUUAUCCAUAAUUUUUCAUUUCUUUGACUAACCGUAAAUACAAAAACUCUAAUGGAGCUGAAUGAUUGUUGGAGUGAGUGUUAUAUUAUAAAAAGUUACACGUUGAUCAUCGCAAACGAAUAAAUAUAAAUUUAGGCAGAAAACUAUGCACGAAUUAUGUUAUUAAUAUUCCGAUAAAGCUUUUAAAAUAACUGUUUGACAGAAGAAAUUAAAUUAGUUGACUAUGCAGUAAAAUGAUAAUCUUUCGAUAGAAAUUUUAAUGAAUAAUUCUUAAUACAGGAAUAGUUCGUAACUUGACAAACUUAUUCAGUACAACUCAACACCUUUCUAUUUUCCAGCUUUAUAAUACUAAAUAGACAAUUCCGUUUAGAAAUAAAAUUUUUCUAUGCGUGUAUACAUAGAGAAUUGUGUGCAUAUGCACAACAAAGAAAAACAAAAUCAAAUAAGAUACCUGAGUAAUAAAAGAAAGCAAAAUAAAGACAAUAUUUUAUUAUUUUGGAAUAAUCAUUUAAAAUUAUUCCUAUGUACAAUUCUUUAGCAACAACUUUUAAAAAAAGUAUUUUACUAUAAGAUAGCAGUUAAUUUGAUGCAUGAAAGUAGCUUGAGUAAGAUUUUAUAAAAGCAGGUCGAGGUAACAAUAUCUAAAAAGAACGCUGAAUGAUCAUUAAAGGUAUACACGAAAUUUGUUUCAUUUUAUUAUUCAUCAAAUUUACCGAAUCGGAUAUUUGAACAAUGUACAUACCUUAUAUUAGUUCAGAAACAUAACAAAAUUAUAGGUAAUACCGAAUAUGAAAUUGACCAUAACAUAUGCAUCUGGGCAGAAAUUGGAAAUGUUAAUUGGAAUUAAAAAUUCGAGACGAUACUUCAAAGACGACACUUUCACGAUUUCAUUUGUAUAAUUUUUAAGAAUCAGAAUUAUAAUAAAAAAUUAUGCAAUUUAUAUUUAACAUUGAAAAUAUGCAAUUUAUUGCUACUAUAGCAGGUCAAAAGCAGCCAUAUUUGAACACAACUGAUGCUUCGAAAUAUAUUUUCCACGAUUUAAGAUUUACUUUCUUUUUAAAGAAUAAAUAUAUAACUUGGGAGAAAACUACGAAAAACGUUAAACCAAUUACAAAUAUGUAAGUAUAAAAAAGUAUUAGAUGUUAUAAUGGAGCUCACAUUUGAGAAAGUUUGUGAAUACAAGAUGUCGGAACCACGUUGCGAAAAGCAGAUAUUCCUCUGCCGUGGUCGUUGCAUCCGCUUGAUCACUUUGUCACAGUAACAAUAAUAUAAAAUAAAAAAGUAAAAAAAGAAUGCAAUAAGACCUGUAUCCUUUAAAGCCAGUACACAUAAGGACUUUCAGAUAGAAACGCGUAAAUUUUUAUAAGGAAAAGAAAAACGAUGCGUGUAAAGGGCGCUCGUUACAAUUAAAUAAAGGAUUACGUGUAUAAAUUCUACAGAAUAUCGCAAGAUAAAAAGAAACCUUAUAUAGGAACGGAAUAUAGUAAAGACGCAAAUACAUUAAGCGUAUUCGUUACGUUAUGAAGUAUGCAAGCUCAAAGAUGAGUAACCUUUUAAGUAGUAUGAAUGUAAAUAUAGAAUUAUGUAUAACUACGAAUAUACAAUUGUUGAUUAAAAAAUAAUAAUUAUAAAAGGAAAAGGGAAAUGGGAAAAACGGAGUAAAAAAUACAGCUGGCUAGCACAGCACGUGCUGGCUACUGGAGGAACCUCCGUUGUUCGACGAGGAAACAAGUCGGGAACCUCCCUCCAGCAACACAAUCGCCGAUGUUCGUGUACCUUCGGUACAUUUCGCGCCUUUUCGUCGUAUGAUGUCACAGUUUGGUUCGAAGCUCCCUUGGGAGUGUUAUAUAUACCUUGCAUUUCAAUCAUUGAAAAAAGAUCCGUUCACAUUAGAAACACGCAUUCCAAUAAAUUACAUGAUGUAUGCUACACUUUGUUCAUAAUAUUCUCAAAUUUUUAAAAAUUACUAGAAAUAAUCAAAUUUGUAACUUGUAUAAUGCAAUUUUGUUGAAAUGAUUGAAUUUAAUUUAAUGUGAUUAAGAAUAAAAAUUUUAAUCUCAUGGACAAUGUAUUUGUCGUCACUAUAGUCCUUUCAUUCCAUGUAUUUAAAACGUAUUUUUCCCCAAGAAAUAAGAAUUCACGUAAUAAAAUUAUGGUUUGACAAAUACACGAAAAACUAUUUUGCUCGAUUUUCCUCCGUACAAGUAAUGAAAAUUUAACCUUCUUUUCGUCCCCAUUUUUAAAAAAUAUCUAUAAUGGAACUAAUUUGACAUCUCUGUACUUUUAUUCCACUUUGCAAUAUAAAUUAAUGUUUUAUAAUAGACCUACUUUAAGAAAUAAUAGUUUCCAUUUAGAUCAUUAUUACGAACUAAAUAUUUUUGUUUUAAGAAAUUUUUGUCUUAUAGUAUUAUUCGAUCGUUUCAAUUAUAAAUUUGAGAUGUAUGCUUCACUUGCUUGAAUGUUCGAAUAUCUUUCAACUUCAAUAAUGUUAUUACUUAAAUGUGCCAUAUUAAAUUUCAUGAAAAAGUAUCACCUUGCAUAAUCUAUUUUGAGAAACAUUUAGUGUAUCGUUUAAUGCAAACUUCUUUGUAUACGUGCAAAAAUAAUCUAUGUAUAUUGAAUGUAUAUUGAAUGCUUUAAUGUACAUUGAAAUGAAUACGAAAUUAAUGUAUUAUUUAAAAUAAAAUUUGCGUCACAAUUGCGAAGUUUAAGUUGAAUGCAAGCAGAAGCAAUUAUAAAACUUUUAGGUGCUUUACAUUUUGUAAAAAAGAAUGAAAAGUUUCAAAAUAUUUAAACCUAUUUCCACGUAUGUAACUGAAGAAAUACGUUUCCUUUACACAUGAGAUACAUACGUUUUAAGUAUGCCUAUUUAACAUUACCGAAUUACUAGUUCAUAACAAUUAACAUGUAAACUUAUGGACAAUGAUGAUUAUCGAAGCUAUCACAGAAGCAAAGUUCAAAUUAUAGUGAUACGAGAAAAACGGAGGGAAACUAUGUAGAUAUAUCAGAAAUCUUAAUCUAUAACUCUAAUUUGUAUAUGUAUAUGAAAAUAUUGUAUUUUCUCGAAAAAUCAUUAUUGCAAUAUAUGAGUGUAGGAUACAUAUAGAAAAUGAUUAACGAUCAUGAGUAUAACUAUCAAUAAUAUUGUAAAUCAAAUAAGAAAUGUCUAUACAAAAACAUAAAUCAAUUAUUUGUAAGAAAAAUGUAAACUAAGCAAUAAUGUAUAUGUUCAUAUACUAAGAAUAUUUUGAAUAAAAAAGAAAAAAAUAAAGAAAUAUUUUCCAUAAAAUGUUAGAUAACAUACCUCACAUAAAUUAAAAAAUAGCAAUAUAAAAUCAUAAAAAAUUUACAUUUUUUAAACUUUUUCUCUUACAUAGAUAAAACAUGUUAUCUGCAUUUUAAAUGCCUUUUUUAUAUAAUAUUGCUCAAAUAUCAACCAAAAAAUUUAAAUAUAAUAAUAAAUGCAAUAUAAUAUCCCUUACUUGAUCAUUAUUAUUGCAAUAUCAUAUAUUACUCUAACUACAUUAUCAUGAAUUAUGUAUUACGAUAGCAAACAGAAAAAUAACUGAUAAAACAAAUGAAAACUUGGAAGUUUGCAAAA